GGACUACACGGGUAUCUAAUCCUGUUUGCUCCCCACGCUGUCGCGCCUCAGCGUCAGCAACGGCCCAGCAGGCCGCCUUCGCCACCGGUGUUCUUCCGGAUCUCUACGCAUUCCACCGCUACACCCGGAAUUCCACCUGCCUCUACCGUGCUCUAGCCCAGCAGUAUCCGUGGCCGACUCAGAGUUGAGCCCUGAGCUUUCACCACAGACUUGCCAGGCCGCCUACGCGCCCUUUACGCCCAGUGAUUCCGGACAACGCUCGCACCCUCUGUAUUACCGCGGCUGCUGGCAC
rnacentral:rRNA from 1 species